UACGGAGGGUGCAAGCGUUAAUCGGAAUUACUGGGCGUAAAGCGUGCGUAGGCGGUUCGUUAAGUCUGUUGUGAAAGCCCCGGGCUCAACCUGGGAAUGGCAAUGGAUAUUGGCGAGCUAGAGUGUGUCAGAGGAUGGUGGAAUUCCCGGUGUAGCGGUGAAAUGCGUAGAGAUCGGGAGGAACAUCAGUGGCGAAGGCGGCCAUCUGGACAACACUGACGCUGAGGCACGAAGCGUGGGAGCAAACAGG
rnacentral:rRNA from 1 species